CCUACGGGAGGCAGCAGUGGGGAAUAUUGCACAAUGGGGGAAACCCUGAUGCAGCGACGCCGCGUGAGUGAAGAAGUAUCUCGGUACGGAAAGCCCCAUCAGCAGGGAAGAAAAAAAGUCCUUUGGACUUUGGACGGUACCUGACCAAGAAGCCCAGGCUAACUCCGUGCCAGCAGCCGCGGUAAUACGCAGGGGGCAAGCGUUAUCGGGAUUUACUGGGUGUAAAGGGGGCGUAGACGGCAGCUCAAGUCUGGGGUGAAAUGCCGGGGCUCAACCCCAUAACGCCCUUGAAACCGGGGAGCUGGAGUGCGGGAGAGGUAAGCGGAAUGCGUGGUGUAGCGGUGAAAUGCAUAGAUAUUAGGCAGAACCCCGGUGGCGAAGGCAGCUUACUGGACUGUAACUGACGUUGAGGCUCGAAAGCGUGGGGAGCGAACAGGAUUAGAUACCCGAGUAGUC
rnacentral:rRNA from 1 species